GUUAAGCGACUAAGCGUACACGGUGGAUGCCCUGGCAGUCAGAGGCGAUGAAGGGCGUGCUAAUCUGCGAUAAGCGCCGGUAAGGUGAUAUGAACCGUUAUAACCGGCGAUACCCGAAUGGGGAAACCCAGUGUGACUCGUCACACUAUCAUUAACUGAAUCCAUAGGUUAAUGAGGCGAACCGGGGGAACUGAAACAUCUAAGUACCCCGAGGAAAAGAAAUCAACCGAGAUUCCCCCAGUAGCGGCGAGCGAACGGGGAGGAGCCCAGAGCCUGAAUCAGCAUGUGUGUUAGUGGAAGCGUCUGGAAAGGCGCGCGAUACAGGGUGACAGCCCCGUACACAAAAGCGCAUGUGCUGUGAGCUCGAUGAGUAGGGCGGGACACGUGGUAUCCUGUCUGAAUAUGGGGGGACCAUCCUCCAAGGCUAAAUACUCCUGACUGACCGAUAGUGAACCAGUACCGUGAGGGAAAGGCGAAAAGAACCCCGGCGAGGGGAGUGAAAAAGAACCUGAAACCGUGUACGUACAAGCAGUGGGAGCACCCUUUGGGGUGUGACUGCGUACCUUUUGUAUAAUGGGUCAGCGACUUAUAUUCUGUAGCAAGGUUAACCGAAUAGGGGAGCCGGAGGGAAACCGAGUCUUAAU
rnacentral:rRNA from 1 species